AAAAAGUUAGUUAAUUUUAUAACAUUAAUAUGUCAUAUUAAAAUUAUUAAUAAUUUUAAUACUUUUUU
rnacentral:tRNA from 1 species